UCACCCAGGAGUGAGAAGAAAGUUGCUGUGCCCCCUCGGCCCCCGAUCCAGUUUGACUGAACUCAGCUGCUGCUGCCGCUGGUGCCCCCCAUCCUUUCAUUUGUUAGAGAGGACUGUUGUGCUCCUCGCCGCUGCGCCGGGUCAUCUGCUGCCCUAAUGCUGGAACCUGCCUCCACCUGCAAAGCAUCAGAGGAGAGAAGGACACACAUAAAGGAGAGAAGGAGACACUUCGUGUCAUUGUUUUUAUUUUGAUUUUAGUUUACCAUACAAUAUUCAGCAGCGGUAUCUACGCUACGUCUCUGACAAGGCAGAUGUCUUGGACUGCAGCUUUCUCCUCGCUCUGCUCAGUUCUCCACCUGCUGCAUGUCCUGGUUGAUGUGGCCCUGCAGCCAGCAGCAGAUCUCACCCAACAAUUUGUACUGCUGCCAACUGCAGUCCAACACACUGGAGCUGGAAUACAAUACCAGCCUGAUCAGCAUGCAGACCUGACAGCCUUAGCCGAGCUUCAUUCACAUUUGCUGAAUGAGUGUUUAGUUAAAUCCCACCAGCUGACGGGGCCAGAAUCGACAGCUCCAAAGCCUUUCCUGUGGCCUAGCUAAUGUCCACACCAGAAGUGCAACCUUUGCAAAGCCCAGCCGCGGACAAAGGCGGGACGAGAGAAGCUCCGUAUGUCGUCAUCUUUGAGUAAUGGUGCUGGAACAAAAGGCCGAACUUGAACAG
ensembl:lncRNA